CCCUUAGAUGUUCUGGGCUGCACGCGUGCUACACUGAUAUUGCCAAUAUGUCAUUCUUAUCCGAAAUGGAUUGGGUAAUCAAGUAAUGAAAUUUCAUGCUUGGAAUCGGUAAUUGCAAUUUUAUCGUGAACGAGGAAUUCCUAGUAAGCGCUAGUCAUCAGCUAAUGUUGAUUAUGUCCCUGCCCUUUGUACACAUCGCCCGUCGCUACUACUGAUUGGGUGUUCAAGUGAGAUGCUUAGACCCUUGUUGCAUGGUUCAUUAUUGUGCUCCGAAAGGAAAAAGUUUCAAGCUUGAGUGUCUAGAGGAAGUAAAAGUCGUAACA
rnacentral:rRNA from 1 species